AUGGCGUCGAGCAGGACAGCAGCGAUGCUGGUCCUCAUGGCCGCGGUGCUGUGCCCUGCAGCCUUGUGUAAGCCGUCGGCGGCGUUCAUCUCGAUGCCCACCGACCACGUCGGUGGCCGUAUUCCUCCUGUCUCCCCAGCCGAAGGGCUCGCCUUCAACUUCCAUUCCGACUCCUGCCCGCAGCUGCAGGAUGUGGUACGCUCCGCCGUGCAGACUGCGCUCCAGAGCGAGAUCGCCCUCGCCGCCGGCCUCCUCCGCAUCUUCUUCCACGACUGCUUCCCUCAGGGCUGUGAUGCGUCGGUCCUUCUAACAGGAGACGGGCGCUGCAGCUCAUCGAGUCCAUCCGUGCCCAGGUGCAUGCCGCCUGCGGGCCCGUCGUCUCAUGCGCAGACAUCACCGCCCUUGCUACCCGUGAUGCCGUGGCCUUCUCCGGGGGUCAGGGCUACGACGUGCCGCUCGGCAGGCUCGACAGCCUCGCGCCGGCCCCAAGCUCGGCCGUCUUCGAUCUCCCUCAGGCCAGCUCCAACGCCGCCACGCUCAUCGACGUCUUCCAGACCCGCAACCUCGACAACGUCGACCUCGUCGCGCUCUCCGGCGGCCACACCAUCGGGAAGGGCCACUGCAGCUCCUUCUCCAACCGCUUCUCCGAGGACUCCGACUUCGUCCGCAGCCUCGCCUCCAACUGCUCCAGCGACUUUAACCGGUUGCAGGACCUCGAUGUCACCACCCCGGACGUGUUCGACAUCAAGUACUUCACCAACCUGCAACAGGGCAAGGGGGUCUUCACCUCCGACCAGAAGCUCACAGCCGACUGGCGCACCGAAUGGGUGGUCAACGGCUUCGCCGGGAACCACUGGUGGUUCUUCGGCCAGUUUGCCGCCUCCAUGA
rnacentral:rRNA from 1 species